rnacentral:rRNA from 1 species
UUGGCGAACGGGUGAGUAACACGUGAGCAACCUGCCCUAUACAACGGGAUAACACAGAGAAAUUUGGGCUAAUACGGUAUAAGACCACAGUAUCGCAUGAUACAGGGGUAAAAGAUUUAUCGGUAUAGGAUGGGCUCGCGACCCAUUAGCUAGUUGGUGAGGUAACGGCCCACCAAGGCAACGAUGGGUAGCCGACCUGAGAGGGUGAUCGGCCACACUGGGACUGAGACACGGCCCAGACUCCUACGGAAGGCAGCAG